GGGCGCGUAGCUCAACGGUGGAGCAGGGUCCUUAUAAGGCCAAGGUUGAAGGUCCGACUCCUUCCGCGCCCA
rnacentral:tRNA from 3 species